UAAAAUAUGAAAGGAAUAUGAAAGAUAGUAAUAUGGAGGAGUCAUUCCCUCAUCAAAUACUAUUACUUAAUUUUUUUAAAUUAUAAAUAAAUAAAUUGAUUUAAAAACCAAACUAGGCAUUUGUUAAUCUUGCAGACAAUCAAUAAUUGUGGGUUGUCCAACAAUGGGCUGGUUUUUGCACCACAUGAAAGGCACACAAUUGGUUUUGUUUUGUGCUAGAUCAUCAACACCGAUAGUGAAAAAUUGAUUACUUUUCUUUACCAAAUAACUCAAUUCAAACAAAGUGCAAGUUAUUGACCACACUACUAACACUACUAGACUAGACAAAACAACCAGUAACUACUCUCUUUCUCUCUCUUCACCUUCACACCAAAAACUCAUAUUCACAAAACCCACCUUCAAACUCCGAGACCGACAACUUCUUCAAUUGCAUCAAUCCAACAAACCCAAUACCCUUUAAUGCAUUCAUCUCAGAUUUUCAUCUAAAUGGGUGCUCUUCUCUCACUCUCCAAACGUUCGCUUUCAUGCACAUCAAUGGGGGUUCCUAUAGUUGAAUUUGACAAGCUGUCGCAUUCUCAUGUUAUCAAAUCGGAUUGGCCAUCUAGUUUUUUUUCUUUUUUCUUUUUGUGGUGAGUUUUCUAAUCGAUUUGUAUGCACAAUUGUUUCUUAUCAAUGAUGCAGCAUAAGUGUUCGAUGAAAUUCCUAUUAUAAUAAACACAGUAUAUGCAAUUGCUAUUUUGUUGGGUUAACUUAUGGUGAGGCUAAAUUGUGGGUUGACUUCAUCAAAUAACACAUACCAGCCAAGUGGUUGAAGAGUUAAAAAACAAUGAGCUGGUUUUUGUACCCCAUGAAAGGCACACAAUUGGUUUUCGUGCUAGAUCGUCAACACGGGACCAAAGACUUCUCACAGCUCAAAAGUGCAUAAAAUAUUCUCAAAAACAAACACUGCUGGGGAAGGAAGAGAUGCAGAAAACCCAUAAGAGUCAGCUGUGUAUGGUCUUGACACUGACAGUGAAAGAAGAAGAAGAAGGUUAUGCAGGUCUUUAGUAUGGUGUGGGAUUUAGACUAGAGAAGGAAAGAGGAAGAAGAGGGAUGUUGUUCUGUGGACUUUAAUGGUUGGUGCAUAUGGCCAAUUUUAAAAGAAGUGAUUAGAUUUUACAAAGAAAUGUUGAUGGGAAAUGAAUGUGAGAAUGGGAGCAGGCAAUUGAGGGAGCUGAUAAAAAAUAAAUAAAUUAGGUUUGGAGAAAGAUGUUGGAUGUAGUUUUUUUUUUUUUUUUUUUUUUUUCACUCGUUAAAACUUACCCUAGCUUAAAUCACCCCGACUCAAACUCCCAACUUUUAUUAUUAGGUUGGAAGUUGGAAAGCAUACAAUGGCGUAAGGUCAUGGGUGGGUAGGUCACAAAGUUGAAUUGGAGGGCAACUCUAUGCAGAAUGUGCACUAACUAAUUUUGUGAGUACCAAGGGAAGUUGUGAAUAAAGGAAGUGAUUUAUAAAUUUAAAUCUUAUACAAAAAGAACAUUUAAAAUGAUGUGUUAAUGACAUUUAUAAAAUUGUAAAAAUAAUAGUGGGUAUUUUGAGUGUAAACGAAGAGAUUACACGAUGCCAACUCAUUAUGUAUGAGAAUUCUGUACAAACUUUCUGCUUGUAUAUUAAAGAUAUGAAUAAUUUGAUAGGCAUUAAUAUUUUUAUUAAAAAUCUUAUUUAAAAUUAUAAAGGGUUUAUUACACUUUCUACUCAUAAACUAUUGUCAAAUUGUUUACUUAAUCCUUGAACUAUCGAUUGACCCUAUUAAGUCCCUAAAGUAUAUACAUCAAAAUCUAUUUAGUCCCUAAAUUACCGAUUGAAUCUAUUAAGUUCUUAAAAUAUUUAAUUCAAACAUAUUUAGUCCUUGAAAGGAUUACAAAAAUAAAAUAUAAGCUCAUAAGUAUUAUAAAUUA